UUUUUAAGGACUCUUUAGGGUAUACUUCUCUUGUCCGGUGAGGGAGGGAGUAACUAAAAACGUAGCCAUGCCUCCAAAACAAAAACUAUGCGAUGAGCAGCGCCCAAUCAUUGCCGUCCGAUGAGUUAGUGGGCCGGCCUUUUGCCCCACAGCCCACGCGUCUGCCGUUACCUACCUUCCGUAAUCCCGUUCUCAAGGAAAAUCCGAGCCGAACUGCGCCGCCGCCGCUGGAGCUCGAACUAGGCAGACAUGGCCCCCCAAGUAGAGCCACCGGCGCCGGCGCCGUCGCCUGCAUCGGCGAAGUAUGAUCCAGCGGCCACCGCCACCACCAUCACUUCCAUCACCGACGACCUCCUCCGCGAGAUCCUCGUACGCCUCCCCUCCCUCCCGAGCCUCGUCCGCGCCGCCCUCGCCUGCCGCACCUUCCUCCGCGCCGUCCGCUCCUCCCCCGCCUUCCGCCGCCGCUUCCGGGCGCUCCACCCGCCACAGCUCCUUGGCUACUUCACUGACCCCUGCCGCACCGCCUUCCCUGCCUUCAUCCCCUUCUGAAGCCGCUCCGACCCCGACCUCGCCGCUGCUGUCCGCGGCUCCGAUUUCUUCUUCACCCGCCUACCGGAGGACGGUGACGACAGUAGGUGGGCGUUCAACGGCUGCUGCUCCGGCUACGUCUUCCUCCACAACGAGAACACCGACCAGAUCGCUGCCUACAACCCCCUCACGCAGGUGCUGCAUAUCUUCCCCUACCCGCCUCAGGAGGCCUGCGAUCCCUGCUAUCUUGAUUUCCGCAUCAUCUUCUCGGAAGAGGACCGGAGGUUGUUCCGUGUGGUAUGUGUUCGUCGCCGGAGGCGGCGGCGGAGGACGCUGGCCCGCUUCUCUGUCUUCUCAUCGGACAGCAGGGAGUGGCAGUGUUUCCCGUGGGUGGACACCUCAGUGCCGCAGCCUGGGCAUGAUAAGUCCACUGCUAUGCCGCUGAAUGAAUUUGAUAGAUUAGUUUACUGGAAACACUUUAGUCAACCAUAUAUAGUCGUCCUCGACACUGGGACGCUGCGGUUAUCUCGAAUGGAUUUGCCGCCGCCAUUGCAAGAUAUGGGCUCCACAGAAUUUAAGCUUGGCCUGACCAAGGAUGGGAGGCUGUCUUUGGUUUUCAUAGAUCACUUUCUUGCAAGCAAAGGAAUGCUCGCUGUUUGGUUUCGGAGAGCCGAUGGUGACGGCGUUGAGAAAUGGAUGCUGCACAAGAUUUUCGCACUGAGUGAAUUUGUUGAUUUCUCUAUGUGUUCACAAGAGUAUCAUGAUGUCAUUGUGCAUCCUGCGGAGGUCAUAGGUGAUUUUCUGUACCUGUCUCUUUGUUAUGAUGGGUAUACCAGGUGCUGCCUAUCCUUGUGCCUGGAAACAGACAAGGUAAACAAGUUCUUUGAUCAUAGUGUCCAUCCCUACAUCAUGGCGUGCCCGCCUUCUUUGGUAUGCAACAAGGAGGAUUUGGAAACCAAAGUUACUUGAGACAAUGUUGCGGAUGAUGACCCUGUGGGCACAGAAGAAACUCACUCUGUUCUUGUCACAGCAUUGCGAUCAUAUAAAGAAGCUCUGAUUAAUGGUGAUGGGGAAAAACUUGCAGAGAUAGAGGCAUUCUACUUUCUAUCAAGGAUGAGAAGAAGUCUCUAGUUUGCAGAAUUGACAACUGUGAGAUACUGUAUCUCGAGGGUAAGUGCCGGCAUUGAUGGCUACAAGGGAAGGGCAGAAAGAGAGAGGUGAUGACAUGACUACUUCUUUGCCAGUUGAAUCAGCCUAUUUGAAAUGAUCAUGGUGUAUUUCUUUCAAUGAGAUGAGCUUUUUAGGGUAGCAAGGGAAUACUGGAGUCAUAAGCUACGGCUAACGAGUGUAACAGAUGUAUGCCUAUUUGGCAAGAGACAAAGUCAUGAGCUUUAUCUUUCUGGAGGUUGCUAUUUUACUGUGCGUCAUUGAGUCACUUUGCUUCUUAGCUUGAGUACUUAUCUGUUGUGGGUCCACUCUUUUUAUCUUCUCGUUGGUCUUGUCUUUUUAUUAUUGUCUCAGUCUUGUGUCAUUUGUAACAUUAUUUUCCCAUUAUGGUUGUUAGUUUCCUUCUGAUUGGUUUUA